rnacentral:tRNA from 1 species
CCUCUGUAGCUCAGUUGGUUAGAGCGCUGCACCGGAAUCGCAGGGCCGUAGGUUCAAUUCCUACCAGAGG